rnacentral:rRNA from 1 species
AUUGAACGCUGGCGGCAGGCCUAACACAUGCAAGUCGAGCGGAUGAAGGGAGCUUGCUCCUGGAUUCAGCGGCGGACGGGUGAGUAAUGCCUAGGAAUCUGCCUGGUAGUGGGGGAUAACGUCCGGAAACGGGCGCUAAUACCGCAUACGUCCUGAGGGAGAAAGUGGGGGAUCUUCGGACCUCACGCUAUCAGAUUAGCCUAGGUCGGAUUAGCUAGUUGGUGGGGUAAAGGCCUACCAAGGCGACGAUCCGUAACUGGUCUGAGAGGAUGAUCAGUCACACUGGAACUGAGACACGGUCCAGACCCCUAAGGGAGGGAGCAGUGGGGAAUAUUGGACAGUGGGCGAAAGCCUGAUCCAGCCAUGCCGCGUGUGUGAAGAAGGUCUUCGGAUUGUAAAGCACUUUAAGUUGGGAGGAAGGGCAGUAAGUUAGUACCUUGCUGUUUUGACGUUACCAACAGAAUAAGCACCGGCUAACUUCGUG